GUCAGGACUGGUCCCAGACCAGCUGAAUUGGUCAGAGGAGCAUUCAUCCCUCCUCCCCACAGGCUGUGGUUUUCAUCCACCCUCUUCAGACAGGCUGUUUCCUGCCCACCUCUGGGGUGACCUCUCUGGAGCUUCUUCCUCUGUCAUCCAGCCUGGUUACCUGUGCUCAGACAGCUUGGACGUGGUACUCAGAGGGUGCCUUUGAAGCUGGAUGAAUGGACAAGUCACUACAUGGAAAUAGAAGCUCAGAGAGAAAGCAGAAAUGCCAAGAAGAACAGAUAGCUGACAGGGCCCACUGGUACGGGGCCGCUUCCCUGUCUAAGAAGCUCGCUGUGUGGCAAAGGCGCUCUGCAGGGGCUGUAGGUGAAACCUGGGAGGAAAGCGCUGAACUGGGGAGCAGGCAGCCCAGCCCCAACCUGCUGAGGCUGCAUUCUGAGGACCCACUGGCCCAGCCCUGUUCUGUGGGUUUGAUGUUUCCCGCAACUUGGGCCAAAUUCCCAGUGAAACUCACUGGGUAGGUCGUGAGUUCUCACUCAGAGGUGCAGGGUCUGACCCCUCUCUGGGCAGAGAGAAUGAGCUCCGUCACUCUCAGGGCCAAACACGGGACAUGACUGAACUUGAUGGAUGCCUUAUGUUCUUUGAAUUUUGCCUCUUUCUCCUUAGCCCAGCCUGCCCUUGGCCUUUCCAGCUCUGCCCCAGGAGCCACCCUGCUCCCCACGGAGAUCAAAGGCUCUCUGGCCUCUGGGACUCACCCAUGCUGCUCCCUGGCCUGGCACAUCCCUCCUCCCUCUUCUCUGCACAGGCCCUCCUCACACUGCCCUGUGGGCAUCAGUCCUGUCAUCUUCUCCCAGAACUCGCUGCCUAUGCCUGCUUCCUUCUGCCCUGGACCCCCGCGGCUGUCCACGUUCUACAUCCUGCGCCCCCCACCCCCGCCCCGCCAUGUGCCCCCGAUUCUCCUGAUGGAUUUCCUUAUUUAUUAUUGUUGCCCUGCAGUGUGGGGAGCAGUGCCUGAUGCUCCUCCAGGAGAUGGCCUGGGGCCUGGCACAGGCUGUUCCUCUGUAGGGAAGCUCUCUCCCCCUCCCCCCGGUUAACAACUGCUCACUCACUCAAGGGGCCCUUCCUCCCACAAGCUCCCCAACCCCCAGGCCAAGCCCGGCUGUGCUGGUGGAUGCUCUUGGGGCUCCCUUCCAGCAGCAACCUCGUUACACAUUUAUGACGCAGGUGUGUGAAUGGUGCCCAUCUCCUGCCCCCAUGAGAAGCUUCACAAAGGCAGGGAGCACGUCCACCCUGCUCCUACUGCCCGGCACUCACUGACCUGGUGCUGAUGCGGCGCUGAGAGCAGGGCCUCUAUUACUGCUGCAUCUUCAGAGCACCCAAGACGUGCUCAGAAAUAGGGGUCUGUCCCCACCCCAGCCUGAUUGCAGAAUGACUGGCCCGUGUGCCUCCUCUCACCGUCUGGCCUGCAGAGACGGGGAAAGUGCCCAGUGUAGGCCCAGCCCAGGGGUCUAUUUUUUUUUUUUUAAAGAUUUUAUUUUUUCCUUUU
rnacentral:lncRNA from 1 species